rnacentral:rRNA from 1 species
AUUGAACGCUGGCGGCAUGCCUUACACAUGCAAGUCGAACGGUAACAGGUCUUCGGAUGCUGACGAGUGGCGAACGGGUGAGUAAUACAUCGGAACGUGCCUAGUAGUGGGGGAUAACUACUCGAAAGAGUGGCUAAUACCGCAUGAGAUCUACGGAUGAAAUCAGGGGAGCGCAAGACCUUGUGCUACUAGAGCGGCCGGUGGCAGCUUAGGUAGUGGGUGGGAUAAAAGCUUACAAAGCCGACGAUCUGUAGCUGAUCUGAGAGGCAGAUAAGACACACUGGGACUGAGACACGGCCCAGACUCCUACGUGAGGCAGCAGUGGGGAAUUUUGGACAAUGGGCGCAAGCCUGAUCCAGCAAUGCCGCGUGCAGGAUGAAGGCGUUCGGGUUGUAAACUGCUUUUGUACGGAACGAAAAGCCCUGGGUUAAUACCCUGGGGUCAUGACGGUACCGUAAGAAUAAGCACCGGCUAACUACGUGCCAGCCGCCGCCGUAAAAC